rnacentral:rRNA from 1 species
AACGCUAGCUACAGGCUUAACACAUGCAAGUCGAGGGGCAGCAUUUUAGUUUGCUUGCAAACUGAAGAUGGCGACCGGCGCACGGGUGAGUAACACGUAUCCAACCUGCCGAUAACUCCGGAAUAGCCUUUCGAAAGAAAGAUUAAUACCGGAUAGCAUACGAAUAUCGCAUGAUAUUUUUAUUAAAGAAUUUCGGUUAUCGAUGGGGAUGCGUUCCAUUAGUUUGUUGGCGGGGUAACGGCCCACCAAGACAACGAUGGAUAGGGGUUCUGAGAGGAAGGUCCCCCACAUUGGAACUGAGACACGGUCCAAACUCCUACGGGAGGCAGCAGUGAGGAAUAUUGGUCAAUGGGCGAGAGCCUGAACCAGCCAAGUAGCGUGAAGGAUGAAGGCUCUAUGGGUCGUAAACUUCUUUUAUAUGGGAAUAAAGUUUUCCACGUGUGGAAUUUUGUAUGUACCAUAUGAAUAAGGAUCGGCUAACUCCGUGCCAGCAGCCGCGGUAAUACGGAGGAUCCGAGCGUUAUCCGGAUUUAUUGGGUUUAAAGGGAGCGUAGGUGGAUUGUUAAGUCAGUUGUGAAAGUUUGCGGCUCAACCGUAAAAUUGCAGUUGAAACUGGCAGUCUUGAGUACAGUAGAGGUGGGCGGAAUUCGUGGUGUAGCGGUGAAAUGCUUAGAUAUCACGAAGAACUCCGAUUGCGAAGGCAGCUCACUAGACUGUCACUGACACUGAUGCUCGAAAGUGUGGGUAUCAAACAGGAUUAGAUACCCUGGUAGUCCACACAGUAAACGAUGAAUACUCGCUGUUUGCGAUAUACAGUAAGCGGCCAAGCGAAAGCAUUAAGUAUUCCACCUGGGGAGUACGCCGGCAACGGUGAAACUCAAAGGAAUUGACGGGGGCCCGCACAAGCGGAGGAACAUGUGGUUUAAUUCGAUGAUACGCGAGGAACCCUACCCGGGCUUAAAUUGCAACAGAAUAUAUUGGAAACAGUAUAGCCGUAAGGCUGUUGUGAAGGUGCUGCAUGGUUGUCGUCAGCUCGUGCCGUGAGGUGUCGGCUUAAGUGCCAUAACGAGCGCAACCCUUAUCUUUAGUUACUAACAGGUGAUGCUGAGGACUCUAGAGAGACUGCCGUCGUAAGAUGUGAGGAAGGUGGGGAUGACGUCAAAUCAGCACGGCCCUUACGUCCGGGGCUACACACGUGUUACAAUGGGGGGUACAGAAGGCGGCUACCUGGUGACAGGAUGCUAAUCCCAAAAACCUCUCUCAGUUCGGAUCGAAGUCUGCAACCCGACUUCGUGAAGCUGGAUUCGCUAGUAAUCGCGCAUCAGCCAUGGCGCGGUGAAUACGUUCCCGGGCCUUGUACACACCGCCCGUCAAGCCAUGAAAGCCGGGGGUACCUGAAGUACGUAACCGCAAGGAGCGUCCUAGGGUAAAACUGGUAAUUGGGGC